GUUCAUUAUUAUGAAGAUGGUAAUGUUCAACUAGUGAGUCAUAAAGAUAUACAAGAUUCCCUAAACAGUGUCUAAUGAGGUGCAAACAGCAAAAGAAUUUAUAAAGAUUGUAGAGGCUGCAGAAAAUGAAUACCAGACUGCCAUCAGUGAGAAUUACCAGACGAUGUCAGACACUACUUUCAAAGCCUUACGUCGGCAGUUGCCAGUUACACGCACUAAGAUUGAUUGGAACAAGAUCCUUAGUUACAAGAUUGGAAAAGAGAUGCAGAAUGCAUAAGAUGAACAUUGCAUGACCAGAUCAUUUUAGUGUCUUUGCGUUUAAAAAAAAAAAAAAAUCAUUGCAAAAGUAUUCAAAACUGUCAAGCUACCCAGUCAGAGGGCUGUUGCCAUUUAAAAUCACUGUAAUUAAUUAGUUUGGUUAGAGCACAAGCUUAGCUAAUCAACCAUUUUUUUUUAAAUUUCUUUUAUUCAGAGAAGACUGAAAUCAGUUUAGUUUAAAUGUCUUUUACUUUCUUUUGUGUCUUUCUUUCUUACAAUGAA
rnacentral:lncRNA from 1 species